UAGGCCCGUUUUGAAUCCAAAUGGUGGACAGGGGGCUUAAGCCCAAACUAAACAAAAGCCAGGUCCGGGCCAAAAGAUCCAGGUCCAACGUGGAGUUCUUCCGGAUCCAGCACAAAACUCAGCGCCGCAUAUGAACGUUCCGAUCCCAAUCAUCUUGACCUCUUUUUCGCGUAACAUUUGAAGCUCCAUCGAAUUCCAAGCACCAGACCGAAGCCGAAAACAUCUACGCCAUAAUCAUACUUGUAUCCUUCAUCAUCUUCGUCCUCAAUUCAAAAUACUCACACAGAAGCCAAGAACAACUUUGUAUGCACAUCCAAACUCACGAUCGACUAAUCCACCAAGGUCAAGUUGUUUCCACCAAUUCGUGUAUGCACGCAGACUUGUGAAGCAGUGCAGAUUCGUUCAAGAAAUUCACGUCGGUUACAGAAAUAAAGAGCAUAAGAAUACUCACCAGAUCGAAAUUGGGAUGGAGUGGAUCUCCGGUGACUUCACAUGUAAUGCUUUGUUCUCCUCUUUCCUCGAUUAUCCACUGUUUGUGUUCUUUCCUCGAUCUUCUUCUUCCUUGCGUUCUCGUUGAUUCGUGGUGAAUGCAGAGAGAGUGAAUUAGAGAGGUUGAGAGGGAAAAAAUCAGAGUUAUUUUGAGGGAAAGAAAACGGGAAUGAAACUCAGAGUGAAGAUUCAAUUUAUACUUCCUCAUCCCAAAUUCUGUUAGAGAGUCAUAUUGAAAUGCAUAUGGAAUUUAACAUAAAUUCCCUGGAAAUGAGAAAAUCUGUUAGAGAAAAUGUCACGAGCUGUUUACCGGUGGAUUCUGAAUUCAGUGUUCUGUUAAUGGCUAAUUGAGGGCCUGAUGUUAGCAGGGCGGAAACUCUGUAGGAUAUGUUAUGUUAUGUUGAAAAGAAAAAUAAGGCCGGGUUGUUAUGAUUGAAGGAAUCUGACUGGUUUUGUUUACCACAGGUGCAGGGUUAAGUGCAGGUCUUGCACUUUUAUGAAGGAGUUUCAUUUGUGUGUAGGCUGGAAAUACUACUGUGAAUCAAAGGCCAUGUAUUGCAGCUGACAGGACUGAGUUUAAUGUCAGGGACUUUAGGUUAUGGGUUGGUUAAUUGCCUUUCUUUUGGAAUGUAAGAUUGUAAUGUACGUAUUGCUAUGGAAUUGUAUGUAUUUGAAUGGAAAGUGUGUAUUGAAUUGGAUUUGUAAUGGAAAGUUAUUUAUGGAUGAAAGUUUUAAAAUUCUAUGGAAUUGUAUUUGAAUGGAAAGUGUAUUGAAUGCUA